rnacentral:lncRNA from 1 species
CCUGCCACUCCUCUGAUACUGUGAUCUGUUUCCUGGGCAUCAUCUCAUAUCACCUUCGAAUUGUUAUCUCUUUCUGUGACAAGGAAACCGAGGCUCGAGGGUGUGAGGUGCCUUGCCCAAGAUGACACAGCAAGGAAGUGGUUGAGCCAGAAUUUGAACUAAGAGCCACGCCCUUAACCCCUCUGUCCAUAUCACUUCCUUUCACUGAGGUCCCCCACGACGGACCCAAGUUCUGCUUCCACCAUUUUCAAGGCAGGAGCCAGUCCUCCAGAUCGUGCAGGGGGCUCAGUGCUGGGUCAGGCUCUCCAGACCCCGGGACCCACCGCCACCUGAGGCCCUUUGCCUAUGAGCUGGCGUGAGCCGGGUGGCCAUCUGCCUGGUGAUGUUAGAAAGAUGCUCGGGCUGAGGAGGAGGCAUCAGAGGGUGGCUGAGGGGCUGCCGUGGGUGCUGCUCGUAUAGACAGAACCCCCCCUGUUCACCAGCAUUUGAGCUGCCCCCUCUUCUCCCACCAGAUGGAACAGUGCUGCCUAAUUGGUCAACUCUGCUGGAGGAGAACCUGAGAGGUGAUGCGGGAUUGGUUUGUGUGGAGCCCCGGGCCCUGGGGAGGGGCCGGAAGUCAGCCCUGUCCUGCAGCCAGAAGGUGGAGCAGGUGGGAACGGAGCCCCUCUCUUCGCAGACACUUCACAGAAGAUGCUCAGGGAACAGCGCCGGGAGAGAGAAAGGGCUGACAUGCAGGGAAAACUCAUUUUGGAGGUUUCGAUCCAGUUCCAGCUGAGCAGAGCCGAGCUGCGGGGGCAGGACGGGCAGGGGGCGGCGGGC